rnacentral:rRNA from 1 species
AUUGAACGCUGGCGGCAGGCCUAACACAUGCAAGUCGAGCGGAGCGACGGACGGGUGAGUAAUGCCUAUGAAUCUGCCUGGUAGUGGGGGAUAACGACCGGAUACGGGCGCUAAUACCUCAUACUUUCAAAUAAGCCUAGGUCGGAUUAGCUAGUUGGUGGGGUAAAGGCCUACCAAGGCGACGAUCCGUAACUGGUCUGAGAGGAUGAUCAGUCACACUGGAACUGAGACACGGUCCAGACUCCUACGGGAGGCAGCAGUGGGGAAUAUUGGACAAUGGGCGAAAGCCUGAUCCAGCCAUGCCGCGUGUGUGAAGAAGGUCUUCGGAUUGUAAAGCACUUUAAGUUGGGAGGCGUUACCAACAGAAUAAGCACCGGCUAACUUCGUGCCAGCAGCCGCGGUAAUUC